rnacentral:rRNA from 1 species
CUCAGGAUGAACGUUGGCGGCGUGCCUAACACAUGCAAGUCGAACGGGAAGCUAGACUUCGGUCCAGUGGAGAGUGGCGCACGGGUGAGUAACACGUAGCUUAUCUGCCCUCAAGAGCGGGAUAACGCACCGAAAGGUGUGCUAAUACCGCAUAAGCUCACGCGAACUAGAACGGUGUGAGAAAAGCUGAGGCGCUUGAGGAUGAGGCUGCGGCCCAUCAGCUAGUUGGUGCGGUAAAAGCGCACCAAGGCGACGACGGGUAGGGGACCUGAGAGGGUGACCCCCCACACUGGGACUGAGACACGGCCCAGACUCCUACGGGAGGCAGCAGUGAGGAAUAUUGCACAAUGGACGGAAGUCUGAUGCAGCAACGCCGCGUGGGUGAAGAAGGUUUUCGGAUCGUAAAGCCCUUUUCUGCGUGACGAGGAAGGACGGUAGCGCAGGAAUAAGUGUCGGCUAACUACGUGCCAGCAGCCGCGGUAAAACGUAGGACGCAAACGUUAUCCGGAAUUACUGGGCGUAAAGCGCGCGCAGGCGGGAUCGUCAGUCACUCGUGAAAGCUCCCGGCUAAACUGGGAGAGGUCGGGUGAUACUGCGGUUCUGGAGGGUGGUAGAGGUAUGUGGAAUUCCGCGUGUAGUGGUGAAAUGCGUAGAGAUGCGGAGGAACACCAGUGGCGAAGGCGGCAUACUGGGCCACACCUGACGCUGAGGCGCGAAAGCAUGGGUAGCGAACGGGAUUAGAAACCCCGGUAGUCCAUGCCGUAAACGAUGUGCACUAGAUGUUCGUGCGUCGACAAGACGCGGGAGUGUCGCAGCAAACGCGAUAAGUGCACCGCCUGGGGAGUACGGUCGCAAGGCUAAAACUCAAACGAAUUGACGGGGGCCCGUACAAGCAGCGGAGCGUGUGGUUU